rnacentral:rRNA from 1 species
CAUUUAUUAGAACAAAACCAAUUGGCUUCGGCCAUCAAUUGGUGAAUCUGAAUAACUACGCUGAUCGCAUGGUCUCGCACCGGCGACAUAUCCUUCAAGUGUCUGCCUUAUCAACUGUCGAUGGUAGUUUAUAUGACUACCAUGGUUGUAACGGGUAACGGAGAAUAAGGGUUCGACUCCGGAGAGGGAGCCUGAGAAACGGCUACCACAUCCAAGGAAGGCAGCAGGCGCGCAAAUUACCCACUCUCAGAACGAGGAGGUAGUGACGAAAAAUAACGAGACAGUUCUCUACGAGGUCUGUCAUCGGAAUGGGUACAAUUUAAACCCUUUAACGAGGAUCUAUUGGAGGGCAAGUCUGGUGCCAGCAGCCGCGGUAACUCCAGCUCCAAUAGCGUAUAUUAAAGUUGUUGCAGUUAAAAAGCUCGUAGUCGAACUUCGGGCCUGGCGGGACGGUCUGCCUUACGGUAUGCACUGUCUGGCCGGGUCUUACCCCUUGGUGAGGCUGUAUGCCCUUUACUGGGUGUGCAGUGGAACCAGGAAUUUUACCUUGAGAAAAUUAGAGUGUUCAAAGCAGGC